UUGGCGACCCUGCACAUAGCAGGGGGGUUGGAACUCAGUGAUCACUGUGGCCCUUUUCAACCCAGGCCAUUCUAUGAUUCUAUGAUAUUAAAUCAAACACUGAAAACUCCUUUUUUCCAUCCUCCUACCCCCCGGUCAUUGAUGCAGGCUGAUACAGGAGCGAAUCUUUGCAUGCAGGAGGUCACUCAUCCCAAAUGUCCAGCACAUGAGACAAGGUGUACUCAGCAUGAGAUCUUCUGGAGUACUGCUGGAGAGGUGGCACAUCACUGCAGCUUGCCAGAUAACUGUCACGCUGUGUCUGCACACACUCCCAGUGCUUUCUGAAAGGAGUGAAAAUUGCUUUCUGCUUUGCCGGCCCACAGAAAGAACACAGAUCUUUCAGAUCCAACAUUUUCAGACCUCAGACCUCAAACCUUUCAGAUUACAAGGGAAGCAGAUUGCAGAUCCCUCCAAAAGAUCCCGACUGCCCCAUAAAACGCAGCCAUUCUCUUCCUGUCCUUACACCCCUUCACUAAUCUAAUUUACACACAUUCAGAAGCCCAGCUUCAGAUGUGUCCUUUUCAUUUGGUCUCUUUUCCUAUGAUGUAAUAUAAGAUUUAUUUUGGAGUUGAACAGCCACACUUUUUCAAUCUCUGGUAUAUAAAUUGCUAGUUAAAAGAAGUGGAUUCCUCUCAGGUGGCAGAUUUUUGCAGGUCUGCUUCAAUGAAUGGCUCGUGUAUAUGUGUGUAUAUAUAUAUGUAUGUUUCUUUCCUCUCUUAGUCAGAAUUUGUUCCUGGGAGACCUAUUUUGCAAGCUUGUCUGCUGAAACUUCUGUAGAGAAGAAAGCAGACGGAGCCUUUUCAGAUUGCAGCUUCCCAGUUGCUGUGUUGAAAGCAUGAAGCAAAAGUGAAACCGAGGGAGAAACUGGAGCUGCCUCAUCAGUGCCAUUUCCAUACCGUGUCUGGUCUCUGGAGAAGGACAGCACGGAUGAAUUUGUGCAACAAGCCAACCAGCCAUAGAAGAUUAUAUCUUACAAGAAAAUCCACUUGUGGUGACUUGUAAGCUACGUUGGCCAUCCCUCACCCACAGUGGUAAGCAGUCUUCUGAGAUCCGCGAGAAUCUUUUUGGUAUACCUGGAAAUUAGUCUGAUUAUUUAAGUUUCUAAAGACAGAAUUGAGAAUCCACCUUCUGUGGACUAAAGAAUCUGUUUAGUGCUUGUUUCUCGUCUUGGCUGUUCUACUACAGUGAGCUUUACCACUUGAAUUCACUGAUUGAAGUUUUAAGCCGAAUAAAG
rnacentral:lncRNA from 1 species